rnacentral:rRNA from 1 species
AUUGAACGCUGGCGGCAGGCCUAACACAUGCAAGUAGAGCGAGCGGCGGACGGGUGAGUAAUGUCUGGGAAACUGCCUGAUGGAGGGGGAUAACUACUGGAAACGGUAGCUAAUACCGCAUACCAUCAGAGGUGCCCAGAUGGGAUUAGCUAGUAGGUGGGGUAAUGGCUCACCUAGGCGACGAUCCCUAGCGGGUCUGAGAGGAUGACCAGCCACCCUGAAACUGUGACACGGUCCCGGUUCCGACGGGAGGGAGGAGUGGGGAAUAUUGCACAAUAGGCGGAAGCCUGAUGCAGCCAUGCCGCGUGUGUGAAGAAGGCCUUCGGGUUGUAAAGCACUUUCAGCGGGGAGGCGUUACCCGCAGAAGAAGCACCGGCUAACUCCGUGCCAGCCGCCGCGGUAAUUC